GAUGAACGCUGGCGGCGUGCCUAAUACAUGCAAGUCGAGCGAACAGACGAGGAGCUUGCUCCUCUGACGUUAGCGGCGGACGGGUGAGUAACACGUGGAUAACCUACCUAUAAGACUGGGAUAACUUCGGGAAACCGGAGCUAAUACCGGAUAACAUGUUGAACCGCAUGGUUCAACAGUGAAAGACGGUCUUGCUGUCACUUAUAGAUGGAUCCGCGCCGCAUUAGCUAGUUGGUAAGGUAACGGCUUACCAAGGCAACGAUGCGUAGCCGACCUGAGAGGGUGAUCGGCCACACUGGAACUGAGACACGGUCCAGACUCCUACGGGAGGCAGCAGUAGGGAAUCUUCCGCAAUGGGCGAAAGCCUGACGGAGCAACGCCGCGUGAGUGAAGAAGGUCUUCGGAUCGUAAAACUCUGUUAUUAGGGAAGAUCAAAUGUGUAAGUAACUAUGCACGUCUUGACGGUACCUAAUCAGAAAGCCACGGCUAACUACGUG
rnacentral:rRNA from 1 species